rnacentral:rRNA from 1 species
UAGGGAAUCUUCGGCAAUGGACGAAAGUCUGACCGAGCAACGCCGCGUGAGUGAAGAAGGUUUUCGGAUCGUAAAACUCUGUUGUUAGAGAAGAACAAGGACGUUAGUAACUGAACGUCCCCUGACGGUAUCUAACCAGAAAGCCACGGCUAACUACGUGCCAGCAGCCGCGGUAAUACGUAGGUGGCAAGCGUUGUCCGGAUUUAUUGGGCGUAAAGCGAGCGCAGGCGGUUUCUUAAGUCUGAUGUGAAAGCCCCCGGCUCAACCGGGGAGGGUCAUUGGAAACUGGGAGACUUGAGUGCAGAAGAGGAGGGUGGAAUUCCAUGUGUAGCGGUGAAAUGCGUAGAUAUAUGGAGGAACACCAGUGGCGAAGGCGGCUCUCUGGUCUGUAGCUGACGCUGAGGCUCGAAAGCGUGGGGAGCAAACAGG